rnacentral:rRNA from 1 species
GACGAACGCUGGCGGCGUGCCUAAUACAUGCAAGUAGAACGCUGAAGGGAGGAGCUUGCUCUUCUUGGAUGAGUUGCGAACGGGUGAGUAACGCGUAGGUAACCUGCCUUGUAGCGGGGGAUAACUAUUGGAAACGAUAGCUAAUACCGCAUAACAAUGGAUGACCCAUGUCAUUUAUUUGAAAGGGGCAAAUGCUCCACUACAAGAUGGACCUGCGUUGUAUUAGCUAGUAGGUGAGGUAACGGCUCACCUAGGCGACGAUACAUAGCCGACCUGAGAGGGUGAUCGGCCACACUGGGACUGAGACACGGCCCAGACUCCUACGGGAGGCAGCAGUAGGGAAUCUUCGGCAAUGGGGGCAACCCUGACCGAGCAACGCCGCGUGAGUGAAGAAGGUUUUCGGAUCGUAAAGCUCUGUUGUAAGUCAAGAACGAGUGUGAGAGUGGAAAGUUCACACUGUGACG